UAUUAUCGACAACAUUGUCUGUCUUUCGUCAGCUUUAUCUAGUUCCCUUUCAAAUUGUUCAACAAUUUGUGCGUCCAUAGACCUAUAAACUAAGUAACCUAGUUUAUAGGUCUAUGGGUGCAUCCACGAUGAAAGAACUAAGUUAGUAAAGUUAGUUAAUCAUGGAUGCAUCGUUCGUUGUGGUGAAAUGGUGAUUGGUGAUACUCGUGCAGAUUGCAGUUGUAGCAGUUUGCAGUUACAGCUUUUAAAUCGGUUUCAAGUUUUCAACAUGGUUGGUCGUUGGUGUCAUCAUGGAGAACUUUGAUAGAUUCUUUGGUCUCUAUUUCCGUGAGUGAUUUACUGAUUCAUCACCAUUUGUAGACUUCACUUGCUCAUCGAUCAUCAGUUUAACCAUCACCAUAUUUUGGUGGUUACAAUAUCUUCAGUUGCCACACAAAAUCCAAUAUCACUGUUUAUAAUUUCUUCUACUGACUCGAUUGUUUCUUUUCCAAAGCUACUGAUUCUUGUUCAGGCUCAUCAUGAGAUGCAUCAAUCUUCGGCUGUUCUGUUUCUUCAGGAACUUUAAGAAGUUCUUUUGCAAUUUCAGAUUUUUUGCUUAUGGAUAAUCAAGGUGGAAUAGAAUAUGGAUGAACAUUUAAUUGUGACCAUUCAAUCACAGUCAUAGUUCAUAUCAUAUUCUAAUUUGAACAGAUCAUCAACUCAAAGAGCUCAAGAAGAUUUUAUUUUCAGCAUUGCAACAUCUUGCCAAAGUUCACAUUGAAUGAAACGAAGUUUCAUAGCAAAUUAUUUAAGUUCCGCAAAACAGUAACAUUGUUGACGUAUCAUUUUUUUUAUUGGAAAAUGAACUCUGUCAUGAAAAGUGUACUUGAAAACUGUUGUUAAUCAAUGUAUGUGACCUGUGUUGAAAAUACUAUUGUCAACUUAUUAGAUAAAUAUGAAAAAGUAAUAAAAAAUAUGUAUUAUGUUAA